rnacentral:rRNA from 1 species
AUUGAACGCUGGCGGCAUGCCUUACACAUGCAAGUCGAACGGUAACAGGUCUUCGGAUGCUGACGAGUGGCGAACGGGUGAGUAAUACAUCGGAACGUGCCCGAGAGUGGGGGAUAACGAGGCGAAAGCUUUGCUAAUACCGCAUACGAUCUCAGGAUGAAAGCAGGGGGCCGCAAGGCCUUGCGCCCACGGCGAGGCCGAUGGCAGAUUAGGUAGUUGGUGGGAUAAAAGCUUACCAAGCCGACGAUCUGUAGCUGGUCUGAGAGGACGACCAGCCACGCUGGGACUGAGACACGGCCCAGACUCCUACGGGAGGCAGCAGUGGGGAAUUUUGGACAAUGGGCGCAAGCCUGAUCCAGCCAUGCCGCGUGCAGGAUGAAGGCCUUCGGGUUGUAAACUGCUUUUGUACGGAACGAAAAGACUCUGGUUAAUACCUGGGGUCCAUGACGGUACCGUAAGAAUAAGCACCGGCUAACUACGUGCCAGCAGCCGCAGUAAGAC